rnacentral:ncRNA from 1 species
GAGGGUAUGGCCCCUCGCCAUCAGCUUGCAGGAGCGGGUGGCAAACCACCGCAAGCGGCUUGGGUCAAAAGCCUCGGUCGUGAGCGUUGCGGAAAAGGCGCCCAAAGGCGUCAGGU